AUGAACGCUAGCGACAGGCUUAACACAUGCAAGUCGAGGGGCAGCAUGGUCAGUAGCAAUACCGACUGAUGGCGACCGGCGCACGGGUGAGUAACGCGUAUGCAACCUGCCCUGUACAGGGGGAUAGCCCAUGGAAACGUGGAUUAAUAUCCCAUAGUAAUCAUGAUAGGCAUCUAUUUUGAUUUAAAUCUUCGGAGGUACAGGAUGGGCAUGCGUCCUAUUAGAUAGUUGGCGGGGUAACGGCCCACCAAGUCUUUGAUAGGUAGGGGUUCUGAGAGGAAGGUCCCCCACACUGGUACUGAGACACGGACCAGACUCCUACGGGAGGCAGCAGUGAGGAAUAUUGGUCAAUGGGCGAUAGCCUGAACCAGCCAAGUCGCGUGAGGGAAGACUGCCCUAUGGGUUGUAAACCUCUUUUGUAAGUGGAGAAUAAGCGUUACGUGUAGCGCGAUGACUGUAACUUACGAAUAAGCAUCGGCUAACUCCGUGCCAGCAGCCGCGGUAAUACGGAGGAUGCGAGCGUUAUCCGGAUUUAUUGGGUUUAAAGGGUGCGUAGGCGGCACUAUAAGUUAGUGGUAAAAUUUCCGGGCUUCACCCGGAUUCGCCAUUAAUACUGUAGAGCUCGAGUACAGACGAGGUAGGCGGAAUAAGUUAAGUAGCGGUGAAAUGCAUAGAUAUAACUUAGAACUCCGAUAGCGAAGGCAGCUUACCAGACUGUAACUGACGCUGAUGCACGAGAGCGUGGGUAUCGAACAGGAUUAGAUACCCUGGUAGUCCACGCAGUAAACGAUGAAUGCUGGUUGUUCGGGCCGACUGAGGCCUGAGUAACGUAGUGAAAACGUUAAGCAUUCCACCUGGGGAGUACGCCGGCAACGGUGAAACUCAAAGGAAUUGACGGGGGCCCGCACAAGCAGUGGAGUAUGUGGUUUAAUUCGAAGCAACGCGAAGAACCUUACCAAGUCUUGACAUCCCGAUGACAAGCUAUGUAAUGUAGCCUCUCUUCGGAGCAUCGGUGACAGGUGGUGCAUGGUUGUCGUCAGCUCGUGCCGUGAGGUGUCGGGUUAAGUCCCAUAACGAGCGCAACCCUUAUCACUAGUUGCCAUCAGGUAAUGCUGGGCACUCUAUUGAGACUGCCACCGUAAGGUGAGAGGAAGGGGGGGAUGACGUCAAAUCAGCACGGCCCUUACACCCAGGGCGACACACGUGUUACAAUGGCCGGUACAGAGGGUCGCUACCUGGUGACAGGAUGCUAAUCUCGAAAUCCGGUCGUAGUUCGGAUUGGAGUCUGUAACCCGACUCCAUGAAGUUGGAUUCGCUAGUAAUCGCGCAUCAGCCAUGGCGCGGUGAAUACGUUCCCGGGCCUUGUACACACCGCCCGUCAAGCCAUGGAAGCCGGGAGUACCUGAAGUCCGUAACCGCAAGGAUCGGCCUAAGGUAAUACUGGUAACUGGGGCU
rnacentral:rRNA from 1 species